rnacentral:rRNA from 1 species
UCUUUUUGAUUAUAAUUUAAGGUUUAAUCUGCUCAAUGAUUAUUUAAAUUGCCGCAGUAUUUUGACUGUGCAAAGGUAGCAUAAUAAUUAGUUUCUUUAUUGGGAACUGGAAUGAAUGAUUGGACGAGAAAAUUUCUGUCUCUUUAUUAUUUUAAUUGAAUUUUACUUUUAAGUUAAAAGGCUUAAAUUUUAUUAGAGGACGAGAAGACCCUAUAGAGUUUAAUUUUUAUUUAAAUAAUUAUUUUUAGUAUUUAUAUAUAUUAUUUAAAUAAAAAUUUAGUUGGGGUGACUAAAAGAUAAGAAUAACUCUUUUAAUUUUUAUCAAUUAUUUUUGAUUAUAAAAUCUUUAUUUUUAAUUUUAAAAUAAAUUACCUUAGGGAUAACAGCGUAAUUCUUUUUUAAAGUUCUUAUUAAAAGAAGAGUUUGCGACCUCGAUGUUGGAUUAAAAUUAAUUUUAGGUGUAGAAGCUUGAAAAUUAAGUCUGUUCGACUUUUAAAAUUUUACAUGAUCUGAGUUUAAACCGGUGUGAGCCAGGUUGGUUUCUAUCCUUAAUUAUAUAUUAUACU